AUUGAACGCUGGCGGCAGGCCUAACACAUGCAAGUCGAGCGGGGUUUUCGGACCUAGCGGCGGACGGGUGAGUAAUGCGUAGGAAGCUGCCCGAUAGAGGGGGAUACCAGUUGGAAACGACUGUUAAUACCGCAUAAUGUCUACGGACCAAAGUGUGGGACCUUCGGGCCACAUGCUAUCGGAUGCGCCUACGUGGGAUUAGCUAGUUGGUGAGGUAAUGGCUCACCAAGGCGACGAUCGCUAGCUGGUUUGAGAGGAUGAUCAGCCACACUGGACAUGAGACACGGGCCAGACUCCUACGGGAGGCAGCAGUGGGGAAUAUUGGACAAUGGGCGCAAGCCUGAUCCAGCCAUGCCGCGUGUGUGAAGAAGGCCUUCGGGUUGUAAAGCACUUUCAGCGAGGAGGAAGGGUGGUGUGUUAAUAGCACAUCAUUUUGACGUUACUCGCAGAAGAAGCACCGGCUAACUCUGUGCCAGCAGCCGCCGCCGUAA
rnacentral:rRNA from 1 species